rnacentral:rRNA from 1 species
AAAUUGAAGAGUUUGAUCAUGGCUCAGAUUGAACGCUGGCGGCAGGCCUAACACAUGCAAGUCGAACGGUAACAGGAAGCAGCUUGCUGCUUCGCUGACGAGUGGCGGACGGGUGAGUAAUGUCUGGGAAACUGCCUGGUGGAGGGGGAUAACUACUGGAAACGGUGGCUAAUACCGCAUAACGUCG